rnacentral:lncRNA from 1 species
GUUUGUGGCACAGGAUGGCGCUGUCGCACUCCUGCAAUUGACGUGUGGUUAAAGUAUGACCAGCAGCUCAUUCACUUAAGAAGACAAACAAUAAUUGGUAGACACCUAGAGGAAAUGGAGUGAGAAAUGGCUCAGAUUAAGCAUUUGUAUUUGGUUCUGCAAUAAUAAUAACAUGGUUAGAACAUAAAUUACCUAAUACUCUGUUGUACGGAAUUGUUCUAACUCCAUCGACGAAUUGGAUCUGGGGCAAGUGUCUUAUAAUGCACAAAGUCUGCCACAAGACUGAGCAUCAAUUUUAUGCCAACAAUGUAUGGAUAAAGUAAUCCUUACUUGAUACAACUAUGAAAAAAAGGUAGUUAUACACAGAAGGCUAGAAAAGCUACAUCAAUUUUGUGUGUAAACAGAGAGUCCUGCAAGUGAUGCUCCAAUGGGUAGCCAAUGGAUAAAUCUACACCCAUGGGGGCACCUUGUGUGGCAGACUUGACAACCUGACAACCUGAUGAAAAAGCUAAGGACAUAAUACCUGGGUGUAGGUUUGUACAAUAGUUGAGGUUCAGAUCACUCAACUCUGGGGAUUUCACAUACAAAGCCUGCCAUGUGUGAAAUUAGUAGUGCAUACAAGACUAUAGUGAAAUUGAAAUGCAUUUUUGUCUUAUUCUCUGAGACCAACAAAAAAUACUCCUUUCUUACAGUGAUCUAACAUUAAAUAGUUUUGGAAUCAUCAGAGCUAUUACGAUGAUAUGUGCCUAUUUUCCUAAGAACUUUAACAACAUAAUAAGAAAAUUAAAUUGUGUUAUUAACCAAGUCGCAAUCCUGUCUAUGAAUUAUAAAAUAUCCAAAUGAAGAAGCAUUGAUCAGAAUUCAAAAUAUAGGUACAUAAUUUAUAUUCAAAUUAAGAAGCAUUGAUCAGAUGAAGGAGCUUUAGCAUUGAUAGAUAAAAUAUAAUUGUCAUGUAUCUGGCUCACAGCAUGCACUUUAUAUUCCCCGAGUCAUGGAUAAAAUAAAAUCAAGGAAUUUGACCAGCAUUCACAAGACCAAAAAUAAUAAUUUAGUCCAUGAAUUCAGUUGGUCUCCUCGGGCAAACAAGAUGAGAAUGGAAGAAUAAAUCAAUGGAUUUGGUCCAAUCCAAUCGAACAGAGGGGGUUUGGAGCAGCGUACCUUGAUGGGUUGAAGCCCUCCAUGGCCUGCACACCAUCAAUCACUUGCAGGAAUUCCUCAAAUCAAUGAAAAUGGCGGCCUGCUGCUA